UACGUAGGGGGCCAGCGUUGUUCGGAAUCAUUGGGCGUAAAGGGCGCGUAGGCGGCUUUGUAAGUCCGUUGUGAAAUCCCUCGGCUCAACCGAGGAACUGCGACGGAUACUGCUUGGCUUGAGUCCCGGAGAGGGUAGCGGAAUUCCCAGUGUAGCGGUGAAAUGCGUAGAUAUUGGGAGGAACAUCGGUGGCGAAGGCGGCUACCUGGACGGGUACUGACGCUGAUGCGCGAAAGCUAGGGGAGCAAACAGG
rnacentral:rRNA from 1 species